UCCGGUUUGGCACCGGCAGUCUCCCUAGAGUUCCCGGCAUCACCCGCUGGCAACUAAGGGCGAGGGUUGCGCUCGUUGCGGGACUUAACCCAACAUCUCACGACACGAGCUGACGACAGCCAUGCAGCACCUGUCACCGGUCCAGCCGAACUGAAGGUCUCCAUCUCUGGAGACCGCGACCGGGAUGUCAAGGGCUGGUAAGGUUCUGCGCGUAGCUUCGAAUUAAACCACAUGCUCCACCGCUUGUGCGGGUCCCCGUCAAUUCCUUUGAGUUUUAAGCUUGCGCUCGUACUCCCCAGGCGGGGUGCUUAACGCGUUAGCUUCACAGCCCAGGGGGUCGAUACCCCGAACUAUUAGCACUCAUCGUUUACGGCAUGGACUAC
rnacentral:misc_RNA from 1 species